UACGAAGGGUGCAAGCGUUACUCGGAAUUACUGGGCGUAAAGCGUGCGUAGGUGGAUUGUUAAGUCUGAUGUGAAAGCCCUGGGCUCAACCUGGGAAUUGCAUUGGAUACUGGCAGGCUAGAGUGCGGUAGAGGAUGGCGGAAUUCCCGGUGUAGCAGUGAAAUGCGUAGAGAUCGGGAGGAACAUCUGUGGCGAAGGCGGCCAUCUGGACCAGCACUGACACUGAGGCACGAAAGCGUGGGGAGCAAACAGG
rnacentral:rRNA from 1 species